UACGAAGGGGGGCUAGCGUUGUUCGGAAUCACUGGGCGUAAAGCGCGCGUAGGUGGUUCGUUAAGUUGGAUGUGAAAUCCCCGGGCUCAACCUGGGAACUGCAUUCAAAACUGUCGAGCUAGAGUAUGGUAGAGGGUGGUGGAAUUUCCUGUGUAGCGGUGAAAUGCGUAGAUAUAGGAAGGAACACCAGUGGCGAAGGCGACCACCUGGACUGAUACUGACACUGAGGUGCGAAAGCGUGGGGAGCAAACAGG
rnacentral:rRNA from 1 species